rnacentral:rRNA from 1 species
UGACCCUGGGCUACACACGUGCUACAAUGGUUGGUACAACGAGUUGCGAGUCGGUGACGGCGAGCUAAUCUCUUAAAGCCAAUCUCAGUUCGGAUUGUAGGCUGCAACUCGCCUACAUGAAGUCGGAAUCGCUAGUAAUCGCGGAUCAGCACGCCGCGGUGAAUACGUUCCCGGGCCUU